ncrna:Halopiger salifodinae S15-Halobacteria ribosomal protein leader
GUGGGAAGCGCACGGCCGCAAAUCUGACUCCGCCGUCCACUGUUCCGGACGGCUUGGGAUUGCGGAAGUGC